rnacentral:snRNA from 1 species
GGAUGUGAGGGUGAUCUGGCUGUGAUAUCUGUACCCCAUUGACUGCCAGGGUUGAUUCAGCUGAUCCGGAUGCCUAGGCGGGUGUCCCCUUCCCUCCUCACUACUCCAUGUGCGUCCCUCCUGAAGCUGCACUGUGGGUUGAAGAGGACAGCCUUCCAGUAGAAGAGGACUGUUCUUUCAUCCAAGAUAUCUGAGUGGCCAUGCUAUACUGCUAGAACCUCCAAAUAAGCUCCCAAGAUUGAGCCUUGAGGGUCCUCAGAAAGCAGAUGGUAGUUGGCACAAUUGGAAAAGUAUAGGUGGGAAGAACAGAAGGGCCAAGGAUAGA